rnacentral:rRNA from 2 species
AAAUUGAAGAGUUUGAUCAUGGCUCAGAUUGAACGCUGGCGGCAGGCCUAACACAUGCAAGUCGAGCGGAAACGAGUUAACUGAACCUUCGGGGAACGUUAACGGCGUCGAGCGGCGGACGGGUGAGUAAUGCCUGGGAAAUUGCCCUGAUGUGGGGGAUAACCAUUGGAAACGAUGGCUAAUACCGCAUAAUAGCUUCGGCUCAAAGAGGGGGACCUUCGGGCCUCUCGCGUCAGGAUAUGCCCAGGUGGGAUUAGCUAGUUGGUGAGGUAAGGGCUCACCAAGGCGACGAUCCCUAGCUGGUCUGAGAGGAUGAUCAGCCACACUGGAACUGAGACACGGUCCAGACUCCUACGGGAGGCAGCAGUGGGGAAUAUUGCACAAUGGGCGCAAGCCUGAUGCAGCCAUGCCGCGUGUAUGAAGAAGGCCUUCGGGUUGUAAAGUACUUUCAGCAGUGAGGAAGGU